GCAAAAGUCAGGACUAGACAUAUUAACCAUCGAUUCAGUCCUUAUCAUACGCCCUCACAGAACACCUCCUGUGAGGGC
rfam:Yersinia pestis CO92 plasmid pPCP1